CUGUUUUUCGAAUUGGCAAGAUGUCGGCAUAGCUGAUAAUAUUUUUAGAAAAGCGCUAUGCUGCAUCUAGUCAGUUUAUUCA
rnacentral:pre_miRNA from 1 species